GUCUCCGCAGGCCUCCCACCCCGCGGGCCUCCGUCCCCUGGAUGGUCGUCACAAUCCGUGCAAAGGGGUGAAAGUGCGGUCAGCUCACAGGGCCUGGGUUGAAACUUUCCUUGCUAAUCAGGACCGGUUAAAUGAUUUAACCCUUCUGUGCUUCUUUCGACCUCUGGGAUGCGAAGGCCCUUCAACCAGAAUUGAAAAGAAGAUACACCAAGAGGAAAACUCAGAGAAGGGGAUCCAUACCAUAUGAAGUUCAAAAGGCUUUCAUUAUUAGGUUUAAUAUGAACAGGAACUGAUAUAUCAGCCACUAAAUGACCUGAUGGAAUUGGGUCUCAAGAUUUUUCGAAAAGCAGCUACUCAUACACAGGAAGUAUGAGAAGAGCCUACACUUCCCAGAGAAUUUUGUGGAUGUAAUAGUAAUAUCACUUUGGUCUCCUGGAAUCUUCAGGUCUGACCAAGGAACCCUCUGGCCCUCAUUGAUUCCUGAAUAUUCAGGAAUU